rnacentral:rRNA from 1 species
AACGAACGCUGGCGGCAGGCUUAACACAUGCAAGUCGAACGCCCCGCAAGGGGAGUGGCAGACGGGUGAGUAACGCGUGGGAAUCUACCCAGUUCUACGGAACAACACAGGGAAACUUGUGCUAAUACCGUAUACGCCCCAAGGGGGAAAGAUUUAUCGGAAUUGGAUGAGCCCGCGUUGGAUUAGCUAGUUGGUGAGGUAAUGGCUCACCAAGGCGACGAUCCAUAGCUGGUCUGAGAGGAUGAUCAGCCACACUGGGACUGAGACACGGCCCAGACUCCUACGGGAGGCAGCAGUGGGGAAUAUUGGACAAUGGGCGCAAGCCUGAUCCAGCCAUGCCGCGUGAGUGAUGAAGGCCUUAGGGUUGUAAAGCUCUUUCAGUGGGGAAGAUAAUGACGGUACCCACAGAAGAAGCCCCGGCUAACUUCGUGCCAGCAGCCGCCGGUAAAGUCGAUAUCG